rnacentral:misc_RNA from 1 species
UGAAAGGCGAAACGUAAUGUGAAUCGCAACUAACAGUGAAUCAUCGAAUCUUUGAACGCAGGCCGCACCUUGCAAUAUCACUCUGUGUUAUUACAAGGUAUCUACGUAUGAGUGUCAGCCCAAUAUCAUUUUGGUUCAAGAAAAUAAUAAGAAUCUUUUUUUUUAUGAAACACUUGAAUACAUUUUUAUAAUGAAUAUGUCAAACAUAUUUUUUUUACAAUAUGUCUGGCCUCAUAUGUGGAAGGUUACCCGCUGGAUUUAA